rnacentral:rRNA from 1 species
AUGAGUGCUGAAACAAAGACAAGAUACAUGUCUAGGAAAAACACCCCGUGCCCUGAAUCCAUUGCAAUGCGACGUCCAGAUUUACCUACUACAUCUGCGACCAAUCAGUCUUUGCACAGUGGUGCAUCACCUGUGUCAACGAACAUGGCAGGACACUCCUUCAAAUCUAAUGAUUCGUUGUCCGCCGAAAAUGCGUCAGCAACUCGUGGCCCCACGUACAUUCGCAACAUCGAAACCGAUGGUGCCUAUCUAAGCAGAACCUUAGGUGAUGGUGCUGUAGAUGGCAACCUCAUAACAAUCAAUGAGCACCUAACAAGUGCCGACCAGCAAACCAGUGAUCGGCUAACAAUAGCGGAUAAUGGAGCUGACGAGCAGAGGCAUGAGUCCAGAGCAAAGCGUAGGACGAGAGAGCGAUCUUGCAAGGGAAGUAUGGCGGCGAAGAAGCAUCAUGAGAAAAUUGGCAAGCGGAAAUCAUGUACGAAGGUGCCACAUGGUGAGAGGAACGCUCUGCUAGAUCGUCGUAAUGAAAGCUUUGCAGGUAGGGUGAAGACACCAAGCGUCAGGUCCAUCUCCAUACCGGAAAUGAGCUCAACUGGACAACCUACCAUAGUUGAAGCACACGGUGCCUCAACCUCAUCUAGCACGCCGGAGUACACGAUCAGAAGUGAAGGUAACACUCCAAUCCUUACUCUCCUUGCGUCCCUUGAGUCUGAACCUUCAUUUAUUGGUUUCGCACCUGAGCAGACGACAUGGACGCUUACCUUAGUUGUCUCAUGA